AUGAAGGACCAGGAAUCGGCCGGCGUCUCGCCCGGCCCGCCGGAGGCAGGGGAGAAGAAGGCCAUCAACUCGGAGCUGUGGCAUGCCUGUUCCGGGCCUCUGGUGGCGAUGCCGCCGGUGGGCAGCCUUGUCGUCUACUUUCCACAGGGCCACAGCGAGCAGGUCGCCGCUUCGAUGCACAAGGAGGUGGACAUCAUCCCCAAUUACCCGUCUCUUCCUUCUAAGCUCAUCUGCAAGCUUCUGAGCCUCACCCUACAUGCAGAUUCUGAAACGGACGAAGUUUAUGCUCAGAUGACGCUUCAGCCUGUUAACAAAUAUGACCGGGACGCAAUGCUGGCAUCUGAACUGGGUCUGAAGCAAAACAAGCAGCCGGUGGAGUUCUUUUGCAAGACACUGACGGCGAGCGACACAAGUACUCAUGGUGGAUUCUCGGUGCCACGUCGUGCGGCGGAAAAAAUAUUCCCACCGCUAGACUUUACGAUGCAACCACCCGCUCAAGAGCUGAUGGCCAAGGAUCUUCAUGACAUUCCAUGGAAAUUCCGACACAUUUUUCGAGGUCAACCAAAGAGACACCUUUUGACAACUGGUUGGAGUGUCUUUGUCAGUACAAAAAGGCUUUUAGCUGGUGAUUCAGUUCUGUUUAUAAGGGAUGAGAAAUCUCAGCUUCUCUUAGGCAUACGGCGUGCUACAAGACCUCAGCCAGCUUUAUCAUCAUCAGUUUUAUCGAGCGACAGCAUGCACAUUGGGAUUCUAGCAGCAGCAGCCCACGCCGCCGCAAACAGUAGUCCUUUUACUAUUUUCUACAAUCCAAGGGCGAGCCCAUCAGAAUUUGUCAUCCCUUUAGCAAAAUAUAACAAGGCUCUGUAUACACAAGUUUCUCUCGGGAUGCGGUUCAGGAUGCUGUUUGAGACUGAGGAUUCGGGGGUCCGAAGGUACAUGGGCACGAUCACGGGUAUUGGUGACUUGGAUCCGGUGCGGUGGAAGAAUUCUCAUUGGCGUAACCUUCAGGUUGGCUGGGAUGAAUCAACUGCAUCUGAGAGGCGCACUCGUGUUUCGAUAUGGGAGAUCGAACCAGUUGCCACACCUUUUUAUAUUUGUCCACCACCAUUUUUCAGGCCAAAACUUCCUAAGCAGCCAGGAAUGCCAGAUGAUGAAGGCGAGGUUGAUAGUGCUUUCAAAAGAGCCAUGCCAUGGCUUGGUGAUGACUUUGCCCUAAAAGAUGUCCAAAGUCAAUUAUUUCCAGGCCUGAGCUUAGUUCAAUGGAUGGCUAUGCAGCAGAAUCCUCAGAUGCUACCAGCUGGUGCCCCAGCUGUGCAGGCGCCGUACUUGAACUCCAGUGCAAUGGCUAUGCAGGAUGGGAUGGGCACUGGCAAUGACGACCUGAUGAGAAGAUUCAAUAUGCAAAGCCAAAAUAUUAGUUUACCUAACUCACAGGUUGGCUCAAAAAUGGACCACGCCGCAAUGGCUCAACAUCAACAGCAGUCCCACCAACUACAACAACAGCAGCAGGUCCAGCAAUCACAGCAAAGUUCUGCGGUUCAGCAACAGCAAGCCCAAUUGCUGCAGCAGAAUGCCAUUCAUCUCCAGCAGCAGCAAGAACAUCUCCAGCGUCAGCAGUCACUGCCACAGCAGCAGCAAGAACAUCUCCAGAGGCAGCAGUCACAGCCACAGCAGCAGUUGAAGACCGCUGCAAGUAUGCCGUCAAUGGAGCAGCAUAAGCUGAGAGAACAACAGCCCCAAGGUGGACAGGCUGUUUCGCAAGCACAAAUGUUGAGCCAGAUUUUCCAGCCGUCUUCCUCCCAGCUACAACAGUUGGGUUUACCAAAGUCGCCUACCCAGCGCCCAGGAUUUCCAGGUUUACCAACUGCAUCUUCUUUGCAGCAGCCAGCUCUGGGCCAGGCACCACAGGUCCAGCAAGCAGCAGAGUAUCAGCAGGCCCUUUUACAGAGUCAGCAACAGCAGUUACAACAACUGUCACAACCAGAAAUGCAGCUGCAGCUGCUUCAAAAGAUUCAGCAGCAAAAUAUGUUAUCUCAACUGAACCCGCAGCAUCAGUCCCAGUUGAUGCAACAGUUAUCUCAGAAAAAUCAGGAAUAUCUCCAGCAACAGAUUUUGCAACACCAGCUGAGCGGCUCUGAUGCUAUGGUCCAGUUCAAACAAUCACAUCAAACACCUUCAAACAACAUCACAGGAUCUCUGACGCCCCAGCAGCUUGCAAGGUCUCACUCGGCACUUGCCGAGAGCGAGGAUCCGUCAAGCUCAACUGCUCCAUCUGCCAAUCGUCUUUCUCCAAUGAAUUCAUUGAGCAGAACACACCAAGGGAGCAGAAACUUAACUGACAUGACAACAUCGCCACAUAUUGAUAACUUACUUCAGGAAAUUCAAAGCAAGCCAGAUAACCGAAACAAGAAUGAUCUGCAGAGUAGCAAAGAAACGAUUCCAGUACCCAAUCGAUACCCAGUUUCAGAUCAACUGGAUGCGUCAUCUGCCACGUCCUUUUGUUUAGAUGAGAGCCCACGAGAAGGCUUUUCCUUUCCCCCAGUUUGUUUGGACAGCAAUGCUCAAGUCGACCCAAGGGAUAACUUUCUUAUUGCGGAAAAUGUGGAUUCACUGAUGCCGGAUGCCCUGUUGUCAAGAGGGAUGGGUUCCGGAAAGGAUAUUUGCAAUCUUCCUUCUGGGCAAAGGGAUCACAGGGAGGUUGAUAAUGAGCUAUCCUCUGCCGCAUUCAGUUCCCAGUCAUUUGGUGUGCCUGACAUAUCCUUCAAGCCUGGAUGUUCAGGUGAUAUUGCUGUUAAUGAUGGUGGAAUGCCAAGCCAAGGGUUGUGGAAUAAUCAAACACAGCGGAUGAGAACUUUCACUAAGGUUCAAAAGCGUGGAUCUGUGGGGAGAUCAAUCGACAUCACACGGUAUACAAAUUAUGAUGAACUUCGGCAUGAUCUUGCAUGCAUGUUUGGUAUUCAAGGUCAGCUCGAAGAUCCGUACAGAAUGGACUGGAAGCUAGUCUAUGUUGAUCAUGAAAACGACAUCCUCCUUGUUGGAGAUGACCCAUGGGAGGAGUUUGUGAGCUGUGUGAAGAGCAUCAAAAUAUUAUCAUCUGUUGAAGUGCAACAGAUGAGUUUGGAUGGCGACCUUGGCGGUAUCCCUUCACAAACACAAGCCUGUAGUGCUUCCGAUGAUGCAAAUGCAUGGAGAGGAUCCUGA
rnacentral:rRNA from 1 species